rnacentral:rRNA from 1 species
CAAUAGCGUAUACUAAUGUUGUUGCAGUUAAAAAGCUCGUAGUUGAACUUCUGGUAGGAGUGUCCCGGCCUUUUUGUUUUUACAAAUUGUAUGCUGUGUGACAUCUCUGGCCAUCCUUCUUCUUUGUUUAAAGAAGAUCUUUCACUGUAAAAAAAUUAGGGUGUUCAAAGCAAAAGUUUCUUUGGAAUAUAUUAGUAUGGGAUGAUAAGAUAGGCUCUAGAUGCUAUUUUGUUGGUUUGCACAUUUAGAGAAUGAUUAACAGGGACAGUUGGGGGUAUUCGUAUUUACACGUCAGAGGUGAAAUUCUUGGAUUUUGGAAAGACGAACUACUGCGAAAGCAUUUACCAAGGAUGUUUUCAUUAA